ACAACAAUCAGCCUGAUAAUGUGCAUAGAAAAUCCUAAGGGAUUUACAAAAAAAGCUGCUAAAACUAAUAAGGAGAUUUAACAGUAUUGCAGGACACAAAGCAUUUCUGUAUCCUAACAAAGAAUAAUUAAAAACUGGAAUUUAAAAAAUUAUUUAGGCUGGGCAUGGUGGCUCACACCUAUAAUCCCAGCACUUUGGGAGGCUGAGGUGGGAGGAUUGCGUGAAGCCAGGAGUUUGAGACCAGCCUGGGCAACAAAGUGAGACCUUGUCCACACAAAAAACAAACAAAGCCAGGCAUGGUGGUAUGUGCCUGUAAUCCCAGCUACUUGGAAAGCUGAGGCAGGAGCCCAGGAAAGCUGAGACUUGGAAAGCUAAGACCUUGAGCCCAGGAAUUCAAGGCUGCAGUGAGCUAUGAGCAUGCCACUGCACUCUAGAAUGAGUGGCAGAAAAAAUAAAACAUCUAUGCACUGAGGUAUACUAUGAUAGCAUUACAUGACUGUUUUGGGAAAAAACUCUAAACCAUUUUUCCUCUGCUCUCAUACUAACAUAACAACAAUCAUCAACACAUAAGAAGACUUCUGUGACCAAAUGUGUGAGAGUUUUUCCCACACGCUAAGCAGUGGACACCAAGUAGGUGUCCUCCAGUUUUAUUCUGACACUAUCUACUUGGAGAUAGUGGGUCUCACCAUGUUGCCCACUAUCUACUGUCUCCAGGUAGAUAGUGUUAGAUGCCACAGGUCGAGGGGCUCAGUCCCCAAAACUGCCCCACCUCCCAGACACCAGUUGUAACUCUGGGUGUCUGGAAAUUCUGACCAACUGGCUUCAAGUUGGGGUUCCCACAACCUCCACUUGGGGUUUGAUUAAUUUGCUGGUGCAGCUCACAGAACUCAGGGAAACACGUUUACCAGUUUAUUGCAAAGAAAAUCAUAAAGGAUAACAUAUGAAGAGAUGCAUAGGGCACAGUAUUGGGGAAGGGGCACAGAGCUCUCCAGUCCUCCCGGGGUGUGUCACCCUCCAGGACCCUCCAUGUGUUCAGCUAUCCAGAAGCUCUUGGAACCCAGUCCUCUUGGGUUUUUAUGGAUGCUUCAUUAAGUUGGCAUUCUUUCCCCCAGCAUAUGGAGCAGGACCCUCUCUGGAAUAAGGGUUUAUAUGACCCACAGUUCUGCCUUGCGGAAGUGAAAGGAAGGCAAGAGAAGGUCAGAGAGAUUCUGUUUCCUGAGGCCUGCCUGCAAGGCCUAACACCCAACAUUGUAACAAAAGCUUGUAACAAGGGCUAUGGGAAUUACAAGCCAGGAAACCUGGACAAAAAUAGAUAGAUAGAUAGAUAGAUAGAUAGAUAGAUAGAUAGAUAAAGAUAGAUGAUGAUAAGAUAGAUGAUGAUAGAUAGAUAGAUAGAUAGAUAGGUAGAUAGAUAGCAAACACAGUGACCCAACCUCAUGGCGUUUCACUCAGACUUUUAUCUUGACUCUGAGAGACUCAAGAUUCAACUUAAAAAUGGCAUCCUUAAUUCUUUUUUUUUAUUUUUAAGACAGCAUCUCACUCUGUUGUCCAGGCUGGAGUGCAGUGGCGCAGUCUCAGCUCAAUGCAACCUCCACCUCCUGGGCUCAAACAAUUCUCGCACCUCAGCCUCCUGGGUAGCUGGAUUAAAGGCCACACUGCCACACCCAUCUAAUUUUUGUAUUUUUAGUAGAGACGGGGUUUCACCAUGUUGGCUAGGCUGGUCUCAAACUCCUGGCCUCCGACCUCAGCCUCCCAAAGUGCUGGGAUUACAGGUGUGAGCCACCUCGCCUGGCCAGCAUCCUUAAAUUUUUAAAGAACUGUGUAUUUCACCUUCUGGCUAUGUUUACCUUUUACAUGUGUUAGGGCCUAGAAGCUGCAAAUACUUACAAAAAUGGUGAAAUCUUACUAAAGAUAAAUUAGAAUUAUGAUGACCAUUAUGUGGAACAUUCCAGAUGAAUAAGACUGUUCAUCUAAGAAUUGAGUUUAAAAAUGAGGGCUUCUGAAUCAGGCCCUCCUAGGGAUACCUAUUGAUGUGCAAAAGCUUCUAAAAAGAUUUCAAAAAUGUUUGUCUCUUUAAAAGAGCUCAUGUAGAAGGCAAAUGAAAAGUUUAAGCAACUAGUUUAUAAGAAAAUUGAAUCUGCCAAUCUUUUCACUUAGUUACUGUUUUACUCCAAAGGGAAAAAGAAAGCUAGGUAAUAUUUAUAAAAAUUAGGCCCUUGGGUGAAGCAGAUUUGCAUUUUCAGAACUAUCCAUCUGCAUCCAGAAAUAGGAAACCCUUUGUCUGCUCUAUUUGCUAAUGGGCUCUGCCCUGAACUCAGUAAUCUAGUUAAGAAACAGAAGCUAAGUUGAAAAGACCGCCUAUUGAAUUAAAUCAGUCUCCAAAAUUUGCGUUUCUGGUAUUUAGCCAGUUAUUUUGAAACUCUUUGUAAAAACGUGUAUCUAUAAAGGAAAAUCAGUAGAAAUUCUUACAAUAGGUGAGAGCAUUAGUCCAAAUAAACUCACCUUCAACCAUUUUGUCUGAACUGGGCUUCUUAGCAUCAACUUUCUGUCUUGGCAAAUAACAAUAUUUAGGCCUGAAAUGUAAGUUCUCUGCCUUUGAGAUGUAAAUUUUCUACCUUGUGUUACCUAGGAACCAUCCCUUUCAAAAUGCAAUUCAGGGUAGAAAAUUUUUAAAUGGUUAUUUUAAAAAGGGAUGAAUAGUGGACUGUGAUGGGUUUAAAACAAAGAUUUAAUCUACUAAUGAUUGGAUGGAUCAGAGGAACUCAUUGCUGGUCCCCUAACAUUACAAAGCUCAAAACCAGUCAGCUCAAUUUACUCCAAUCUGGAAAAAUUUUUAAAGCCAGAAGGCAGAGAUUCCAAUGGGCAACCUAACUAACAAUCACUUAGGGCAAUAAUCAAGCAGGUCAGUCCAGAAAAGGGCAAGGUCCCUUGACUCAAUCCCCCUGUUGGGAUAGGUAUAAUUAGCAAAUUCAUAUUUUAAUGACCAGAACCCAGAGAUUGCUGCCUCACGGUAUGUUCUACCUCUAAUUUUCCCAAACCUUUAAGAAUGUCAAAGAAUAAAAUCUCAACAAAUUAUGUAAAGAUCUAAUUGGCUUUUAUUAGCGAUUCAUGAACUGGGUAGCAUCCAGCCUACAAAAUAAAACAGA
rnacentral:lncRNA from 10 species